rnacentral:misc_RNA from 1 species
GAUGAAGAACGCAGCAAAAUGCGAUAAGUAAUGUGAAUUGCAGAAUUCAGUGAAUCAUCGAAUCUUUGAACGCACAUUGCGCCCGCUGGUAUUCCGGCGGGCAUGCCUGUUCGAGCGUCAUUUCAACCCUCAAGCCCCCGGGUUUGGUGUUGGGGAUCGGCUCUGCCUUCUGGCGGUGCCGCCCCCGAAAUACAUUGGCGGUCUCGCUGCAGCCUCCAUUGCGUAGUAGCUAACACCUCGCAACUGGAACGCGGCGCGGCCAUGCCGUAAAACCCCAACUUCUGAAUGUUGACCUCGGAUCAGGUAGGAAUACCCGCUGAACUUAAGCAUAUCAAAAGCGGAGGA